rnacentral:misc_RNA from 1 species
GAUGAAGAAUGCAGCGAAAUGCGAUAAGUAAUGUGAAUUGCAGAAUUCAGUGAAUCAUCGAAUCUUUGAACGCACAUCGCGCCCGCCAGUAUUCUGGCGGGCAUGCCUGUUCGAGCGUCAUUACAACCCUCAGGCCCCCGGGCCUGGCGUUGGGGAUCGGCGGAGCCCCCCGUGGGCACACGCCGUCCCCCAAAUACAGUGGCGGUCCCGCCGCAGCUUCCAUCGCGUAGUAGCUAACACCUCGCGACUGGAGAGCGGCGCGGCCACGCCGUAAAACACCCAACUCUUCUGAAGUUGACCUCGAAUCAGGUAGGAAUACCCGCUGAACUUAAGCAUAUCAAUAAGCGGAGGA